rnacentral:rRNA from 1 species
CAGUCGCCACGGUAAAACGUAGGGCGCAAGCGUUGUCCGGAAUUAUUGGGCGUAAAGAGCUCGUAGGCGGUCUGUCGCGUCUGGUGUGAAAUCCCGAGGCUCAACCUCGGGCUUGCAUCGGGUACGGGCAGACUAGAGUGCGGUAGGGGAGACUGGAAUUCCUGGUGUAGCGGUGGAAUGCGCAGAUAUCAGGAGGAACACCGAUGGCGAAGGCAGGUCUCUGGGCCGCAACUGACGCUGAGGAGCGAAAGCAUGGGGAGCGAACAGGAUUAGAUACCCCCGUAGUCCCUGUCUCUUAUAA